UUGUCUAAACCCGGUCCAUCAUGGACUCAAUAUAAUCAUUUGGGACUCACAUAUUUAAUAAAUAAGUUUCACCAUGCAUCUUGUGUCUUGGGUCCUGAAUUUACGGUGGACUAAAUUUAGGUAAGAAAAAUAUUACUUUUACAUGAUCCAAGACCAAAAAUAUUGUUCUACACAGCAGCUUUGACAAGUGAGAGAAGACUAUGUUCAUGAAGCCUUCAGUUGAUGCUCUAACGACUAGCGCUGUUUCUCAGUCGCACUAACACAUUUUCUUCACCAGUGAGAAGCUCUACCAAUCCUUCCAGUCGGCAAAAGAACAAAUUAAAAGGCAUUUGUAUAAUCACGACAAUCGUGGCGACCAACCCUUAAAUUGGUUUCCCAGCUGUUGUUGAAUUCAGUUGCAACAUCUAAAGUAUCCACUUCAGAGGAUCCAACGAACCAGCAUUUGCUUCUUGGCAGCUUUGCCAACUUCCGCACAAGAACAGCUCCUGGCACUGCUCUACCUGACAGAACUGCAAGUGCUGUAUAUAUAUUUUCAGGGUCUUUUGGCUGAAAAUCAAA
rnacentral:misc_RNA from 1 species